UCUUUAUGCUCAGCUUCUUUUCUCAGCAGAAUCUCGCAAAACCCAACUAUUUGAUACAAAAUCUAGCGCUGAUGAUGGUGCAGAACACGAAAACUACGGGGAUAAGGUCGAUGCGCGAGAUAUCCCUCUGUUAUAUCUCGAGACGGAGAUUCAAAACGCUCCUGUGGGGUCACCUCAAAGACAAGAAGCUCAG